ensembl:lncRNA
UCUCUCUCUAUGUAGUGUUGUGGUGUCUCUAUGUAGUGUUGUCUCUAUGUUGUGGUGUCUCUAUGUAGUGUUGUCUCUCUCUAUGUAGUGUUGUGGUGUCUCUAUGUAGUGUUGUCUCUCUCUAUGUAGUGUUGUGGUGUCUCUCUCUAUGUAGUGUUGUGGUGUCUCUAUGUAGUGUUGUCUCUGUCUCUAUGUUUGUUCUUAAUUGACUUGCCUUUAAAUAUAUAUAUUUUAAAUUACCUUAACCCUAGUACAAAACAGACAACUUUGAAAUAAUCAAAAAAUUGCAUCCGUACAAGUUUUUGACCUUGUUUAUGUAGCGUUAACCUAACUUGUUUUGACCCCAAUAUUUCAAUUAGCUGUGUAUCCUGUUUGAAGGGAACACGUUUGAUAUUUUCCUGACAGUUUGUGCUAUGGACUAUUUGUGCCAAUCAGAUGUGUUACUAAUAGUGUGUUUCUCUGCCUUCCCAUUGACAGGGGAGACUUGUCAAAUCAUUUUAUUUUCUUGUCUGUGGUCCAAUACAUUCUGGAUUCAUAUGAUUAAUAACCUAUUAUUCAUAUAAUGAGAUCAAUACCAGGGAUCAAUUUAAAACAACCAUUUCAAUUAAGCGUAGAUUACUCUUGAAUGUUGUAUAAAAAAAAUCCAAAUAAUUCUCAAUAAAUGCAAUAUGUACAGUCAUCAGUUUCCAUGUAAAGACUUCUACACUGUAGGCUACCGACACCGUCUCCACUCUGUGCCGGCGUCUGUCUCCACUCUGUGCCGGCGUCUGUCUCCACUCUGUGCCGGCGUCUGUCUCCACUCUGUGCCGGCGUCUCCAAGCUGUGCCGGCGUCUCCAAGCUGUGCCGGCGUCUCCACGC